rnacentral:misc_RNA from 1 species
UCUCCGUAGGUGAACCUGCGGAGGGAUCAUUACAGAGUUCAUUCCCUACCGGGUAGAUCUCCCACCCUAUGUUAUUAUUACUUUGUUGCUUUGGCGGGCCGUUAGGCUCCGGCCCGACUACCGGCCCCGGCUGGUAAGCGCCCGCCAGAGGACCCAAAACCCUGAAUAUUAGUGUCGUCUGAGUACUAUAUAAUAGUUAAAACUUUCAACAACGGAUCUCUUGGUUCUG